rnacentral:rRNA from 1 species
UGACAGUACUCCUACGGGGAGGCAGCAGUGGGGGAAUAUUGCACAAUGGGCGCAAGCCUGAUGCAGCCAUGCCGCGUGUAUGAAGAAGGACCUUCCGGGUUGUAAAGGUACUUUCAGCAGUGAGGAAGGUGUUGUCGUUAAUAGCGGCAUCAUUUGACGUUAGCUGCAGAAGAAGCACCGGCUAACUCCGUGCCAGCAGCCGCGGUAAUACGGAGGGUGCGAGCGUUAAUCGGAAUUACUGGGCGUAAAGCGCAUGCAGGUGGUUUGUUUAAGUCAGAUGUGAAAGACCCGGGGCUCAACCUCGGAAUUGCAUUUGAAACUGGCAGACUAGAGUACUGUAGAGGGGGGUAGGAAUUUCAGGUGUAGCGGUGAAAUGCGUAGAGAUCUGAAGGAAUACCGGUGGCGAAGGCGGCCCCCUGGACAGAUACUGACACUCAGAUGCGAAAGCGUGGGGAGCAAACAGGAUUAGAUACCCUGGUAG